GCGCCCAUAGCUCAGCUGGAUAGAGCGUCAGCCUCCGGAGCUGAAGGUCGUAGGUUCGAAUCCUACUGGGCGCACCA
rnacentral:tRNA from 1 species